GGAAAUGGCACGGCUCGAUAAGCACUCAAAUGGCCAUUGCUAAGAAACCCACCGAGCGAAGCCAUUAACUGGACCCAGGAAGAAGGUCCGGUAGCCUGGUUCAGGGAGGGAGCAGGGAGCCACGAACCGAGCCAUCUCCGGCUCGCCCAGUGUUGCCGAGGCUUGGACGCGCCGGCAGGAACUCGGUGGCGCACUCGUCGCUGUGGGCGCCACUUGUCGUUCUAGCGUUUGAUAACGCGCCAACUUGGAGCAUGCGGGGCUUUGCUGGUUAUACCAAACCAAGACGCAGUCAUGGCCAGUCAACCCGCACCGGAGAGAGUUCAUCUGACACUUCAUCCUCAUCUUCCUCGUUUACCCGCUUCCCUCUGCCAACGGACCGGAGCAUCUUCCGCGCAGACCUCAUUCAUUUUCCCUUUCGUCUUUUUCGUCCCAGUCAAGCCACCGAAUCCGUAGUGGCGGAUUUUCUUGCAUCGUCAGAGUGGGGAUUUUCCUUUAGUAGAAGCGGGUCCUUCCUUUUUCUUCUUCUUCUUUCCUUUCGGCAGUAUGUUGUGUUUUGAAGAUGAUGAGCAGCGAUAGCUCGGGUUCUACGGCGGGGUUCGGAAUCCCUUCCGGCCUCAACCCCAUCAAGACUAAGCGUGGCCCCCCGUCCGAUGAAGCUGUUCCGGUUAGAGGUGGCGUCGGCAGCGGCAAGCUGAGAGUCACCUCAGAUGGCGGCCGGCAGCGGGGAAUCUUUUUCCGCUCAUCGCGGCGCCCGGCCAAACUCGGGGAAUCGAGGUUCGCCGGUGGCUUCCGCGGCGAUGGCGAGCGGGGUGGGUUAAUCGGUUCUUGUCAGAGAGCCUCGUCGCAUGAAAUAUAUUUCAGACGUUCCUUGCUCAUUCCAAACAUCAGUGACCAAAGAUUAAAGCAGUUAUAUUCUGGAAGUCAAGGUACAACAAUAGUGGAGCAAGAUGAUUUGCAUGUAGUAGAACACUUAGCUGGUACCAGUAAUCUGAAGAUUGAAAUGCCAUGCUUAAACAGUGCCACAGGGGAGCUGAAAGCACGUGGUGGUUCUCAUCCAUCUCCACCUGGUUCACAAUGUCCAGAUGAGUUAAAGUGCCUUUUGGGAUCAACAUACACCAGACUGGAUGUAAUCAAAGAAGCAAUGGACCACAGACUUUCUCUUUUCACAAGAGAAGUGUCAGCCAUCCUAGCUGAGCAGGGGAAUAUGCCUGCAGAGUCACGGGAAAUGGCUGAAGAGCUUCUGGUUCUUUCGGCAGUCUGUAAAAAUCUCCCCUGUUCUGAGUUUCAACAUAAAUGUGAAGGCCUAGUUGGAGAUUUAUCAGAAAAGCGACUGCUCUGUCAGUCAGGUUGGUUGAAGCAGUUGUUUAGUAAAAUGAUUUUCAUUUUAGCCCAAUAUUCUAGGCUAGUGCAAGCAUACAAAGAGAAGGGACUGAUCAACAAGAAUUGCCUUUCAAUGUUUAUGGAGUAUCUGAACAGUGUCCCAGACAUAGAAGCAAACUGGACUCCUCAGAGAAGUAGUUCAAGGGUCAAGUCUGACGGAGUUUUUUAUAAAAAUAUGGAGAGUUAUAGAAGUGUAUCGGAUGCUGAAAUGCUAUUAAAACCACAUAGUGAAGAAGUUCUUGAUAAGGAAGACAUUGCAACGGGAGGGUGUCCUGGAAGUGAUAGUAGGGCUCUUUUGUUACAGUCGUCACAGAACGUGCAACAUUCUGAUCAGGCCAUGGAAUCUAAUGCUUCUACAUACUUUGGGACUCUAAAUGAGAAGUUGCAUUCCUCAUGUGAUGUUGUGGAAGCUUUGGUCUUUCAGAAAGAUGGUAGUUCACCUAAGAAACUGCUUGAUGAAUUGAAAUGGAGUUCAAUUCAUGAGCAACAGAGUCAUGAGCACAUUGAUGGAGUAAUCUGCAGAAUAUGUGAGAAACUUGUUCCACCCUCUCAUUUGGAGGCUCAUUCUUAUAUAUGUGCAUUUGCUGAGAAGUGUGAUGUCAAUGAUUUAGAUGUUAAUGAUCGCCUCCUGAAGUUUGCUGAAAUUCUGGAAUAUAUCAUUAAAUGUUACACUUCUACUGAUUACUCUGCUACUUGUGGGAGUCCUGGGGUUUCAAAAGUUCAAACGCCUUUCUCUAGAGGAGUUGAAGGUCAAUCUCCAAAAGUUAAUGAGUGUCCUAAUAUAGGUGUGGAAGGAAUGUUUGAAGAUAUUCAUGAGAUGGACACAGCUUGUAUAGAUGAUGCUCAUGUUGCAGCAUCAAAUAGUUGCACUGGAAUGGGACUGAAAGAUCACUUCUUUGAGUCUUUGUCUGCAGAUUGUACAACUCCAGCUUCCUCUACAAGUACACCAAAGGCAACUCAAUUCAACUUGUUUUGGUUGGGGCUAAAUUCCUUAGAACCAGAGAAUCUAAUGCAGAUGUCUACCCUUGCCCGCAUAGCCAACCGCAUGGCGAGUGUAGAUACGCGACAAGAAGGAGCUGCUGACUGUUUGGAUGCAGUACAUGAAGUUCAGGAUAUUCUGCAAUGUAGCCAUCUCAAAGCACUUGUUGUAGAUACUUUUGGUAGUCGCAUAGAAAGCAUAUUGAGAGAGAAAUUCCUGUCCACCGGCCAGAUGACGAACACAAGAAGUGCUCAAGAUUUAGAUGAUACAGGGUGUUCAACGGAUGCUGAUAGUGGGGCUUCUACUCCCUUAAAUUAUCCAUUGAAGGAAAGGACAACCAUUGAUGAUUUUGAGAUUAUUAAGCCAAUCAGCAAAGGUGCCUUUGGAAAAGUCUUUCUUUCAAGAAAGCGGACCACGGGUGAUUUGUUUGCUAUAAAGGUACUCCGGAAAGUGGAUAUGAUACGAAAGAAUAGUGUUGAACGUAUAUUAGCAGAGAGGAACAUAUUAAUAACUGUCAGAAAUCCUUUUGUGGUGCGUUUUUUCUAUUCAUUCACCUCCAAUGAAAAUCUUUAUUUGGUUAUGGAAUACCUGAAUGGUGGUGACCUGUUCUCACUGUUAAAAAAUAUUGGUUGCUUGGAGGAAGAUGUGGCUCGUAAAUACAUUGCUGAGCUGGUCCUUGCUUUGGAAUAUCUUCAUUCUAUGGGGAUAGUGCAUCGUGAUUUGAAGCCUGCCAACAUUUUGGUUGGACACAAUGGCCACAUUAAGCUUACAGAUUUUGGACUUUCAGAAUUUGGCCUUCUGAAGAGCACAGCUAGUUUGGUUGAAACUGAUACUGGUAGUCCCCUAAAGGUGAAUGAGCACAACCUGCAAGUUUCUCUCGAAUGUAUGCAGUGUGAGAAGAAAAGAAAUCAGGGUCCUGCGGUUGGCACGCCUGACUAUUUGGCACCUGAAAUAUUACUGGGUACAGAACAUGGCUGUACUUCAGACUGGUGGUCAGUAGGGAUCAUCCUUUUUGAGUUUAUAACUGGAAUCCCCCCUUUCACUGCACAAUCUCCUGAGUAUUAUAGGAUUGCAGGGUUGAAGUACUAUGUGAAAGGAGUUUCUCUGUUGCAGUUGUAAGAUAGUUGAUUUUGAGUGGCUUGCUACUGCUAGUGGGCGAAUGAUCUACGAGUCUCAAUAUUUUAUCUGAACAUUUGGAUACCGUCAACAAUCAUGUUGUACUAAAAAUAUGUGCAGACAUGAGAAAGUUACCCACAACAUGGUACUCUACCCAUCAUGGAGUUUGUUCAUGGAUGCUUGAAGUUUCUUGCAACACCAAACAGUCACAGAGGCUAUCAUGUCAGAUAAGAAUUGCUUACCAUUACAGCAUGUAAAACCAAAAUAUAGGAUGGGAUAACAUGCUUAUGCCUUUUGAUUAUUAAUAUAAGAUUAGGUCUUCAAUAUCUACUGUACAUUUUAUUGAGGUAACUGGAAGAAAACAAGGUUGCUACCUAUGUCACAUAGGUACGGGUAUGGGUGCCAGUGCGGGUAUCGGUAUGAGUAUGGGUACGGACCAUUUUCAAAAAACUUGGGUGUGGGGGUAUGAGCGUAUAUAUAUAUAUAUAUAUAUAUAUAUGUAUAUGUAUAUAUAUAUAUAUAUAUAUAUAUAUAUAUAUAUAUAGAGAGAGAGAGAGAGAGAGAGAGAGUUUUCUUUCUUUCCAAUGUAAAUGACUAUGUGAUGAAAAAGGCUUUUGGCUAAAGAAUAACCUCUCUUCUCUGAGAGGGUUGUACAGUUUCAGUUCAGUAAAAGGAGGCUCAUGCUUCUAGCUCGUAAGCCUUUCUCCAUAGUUUCGUCUUUUCUUUCUGUACUGCAAUGGUUACUUGCCUUUGCUGUUUGCUUGCUUCCUUUUUCCUGUUCUUUUUAGUGUGUCCACUAGGUGCAUUUUUUAAUCCGAAGGGUAUGACUACCCAUUCAAAUGUCCUUGGGACAGGUGAAGGCUGUCCAUUCAAUAGAGGAGCUAUCCAUUCGAACCUGCCAGAAACCACUUUCGCAGAUAAAUUUGGAAAAAUAAUAUUUGACAACAUUCUGAACCAGAAGAUCCCUUGGCCAGCUGUUCCUGGCGAAAUGUCAUAUGAG